rnacentral:lncRNA from 1 species
GCUUCGCCGACCGGUGUCGGUGUCGGCUGUGCGCGUUCGUCACUUGUCUGACUUGUCUCUGCGCCGACGACGAUGACCGCGAGUCAUGCAGCACAUACAGCUUUCGUCUUGACAACUAUUUGACAACGUAGUCCGUGAACGGGUGUCCCGUAGCGACUUCGUCGUGACUGCCUCAGAGAACGUCUAGUACUGCCUUUGCUUGAUUGACGGACGUCGAGGGCGAAACAGAGCGAAGGUGCUGCAAUGCACUGCCUUGCCACAACAAGUGAUGUAAGCCAGAAAGACCAUUACGUGAAGCAAUGAUGGGCGAACAUAUACGUGGAGAACGAACGAAGUGAUUGUGCGAGCAGGCCAAGGCAGAAAGUUGCAAGGAGACUAUUAGUGCCACGAAACCAGCCACCGCCGCCUGUAGCAUCAUCCGGUGCCCGUGCUGCAAGUUCAGUCGUAACCUCUGUGGAGGGGGAUCCAACACCGUGGAGAAAGUAGGGGCUGACGAGCUGCGUUUAAGUAUGCUUUGCUGGUGCUUUUAGCUAUUUCAAAAGACACAAGAAGUAGCCCGACAUCACUUGGCCAUAGGCUGCUCUUCCUCAUCUCAAUGAGCAUAGCUCUUGGAACACUGGCUCCGCCAAAAAACUAGCCAUAAAGUUCAAGGUAAAGUUUUUAAACCAUGUAAUUUUUGUCAUCUCAUGUGAGCUGCCAUACACACAUAGAUGAAUCUUUGUUGUUGCUUAGAGGUAGACUUCAUGCUUCUCUCCCAGCAGCCCAGCUCUCUUCUCUUUCUAUUAUGUAUUACUUUUCUUUGAUUUAUGCUUUAAUGACCAAAGUAUGCAUGCUCACUCCCUGCGUGUGAAGUAGAAAUGCACCGGUGUUUAAACACCAUAAAAGGAUGCGAAAAGUUAAAGGACCCCUUGUGACUUUUUUUACUGUAAUUUGUAGCCUUGUGUCUGGAAAUGCCAAAAUUGAGUGAGUCAUAAAUUCUCUGACAUAUCGUAUAAUUAAUGCUAGUGUGUCUAAUUCUGGCCACUUUUAGCUUCAUUUUGAAACACCCGCCUGAGAUUGUAAGAAACUACUUCCCCACAGCGGGGAAGCACCUAGGACAUUGUGCGCUAAAGGUUUGGUGACAUUGACAGCGCAGUUUUCAAAUCGGGGGCCCCGCGCGCGAUAAAGAAUGAAACGAUGUGGGUGCUUCGGUAUGAGCUAAGCCGGUUAAGUGCAUGUUCCCUCAGGAAAAUGAAAAGCAUUCCUGGCUUAAGCAGCCAAAACCACCCUGAGAGCAGCCCGACAACUGAGCGAGAGAGACGAGAAACAAUAGCCCUCGUCAGGUGCCAGUUGUGGUAUUGUGUGCAUCCUGUCCAUCUUUUGUGACGUCAACAAUACUGGCUUUUCUUGUGGAACGUCACACGGGGCCUUCAUCUAUGUCAUAUUAGUGGAGGUGUCGCGAGGUGCUGCCAACUCAGAUGAGCACUCACGCUUACUUUAAAACCAAAUUAAAAUAUCUUAAAGGUAACGUUUGCCACUAUUAAUCAGCCAGAAGUGCCCAUGUGUGCAGGACAAUCAAACAACACAAACAUCUCGAGGUCUUGAUUUUGCUGUCAGGGGCCCAUUAAACAGAACUAAAAGUAUGCAGAGGGGACAAGAGCCGUACGGGUCCACCCUAUGUGUUUUUAAAAGCUGUAAAUGAUUUAAAGUAGUACUGUGUAUUCUACUUUAGGAGACCGGUAAGCAGUCAUCAUACUUGCAGAAAAACUUUUUUUCAUAAAAACGUUACGAAGCUUAUGUUGAAUGCACUAGUCUUUCUUGAUGGAAAUGAUUUCAGUAACAUUAUUUUGUCACUGUAUAACCAUAGCGGUAGCGAUCUUGCCAUGCUUUCUUUUGUUCUUCAGCUUUCUAAUAAUAUUCUUCUAUGUAGGAGUGUGUUUUCCCAUCAAUAUGUUUUUUGGUAAACAGAACGAUUACUUUAUUGAAGAGUCUUAUGCUGGGACUGUUGGUACAUAGUUCAAAAUGUACGUAGGGAAGGAGGAAUUGUACAAGCACAGACACCCAGUGUGUGUGUGCAUUCCAUUACUUCCUCUUGUGUAAGACUCCUUGAGGCUGAGUGUUGUUCUUUCAAACUCUUUUAGUGAAAUUGUAUGAGCUAUGUUUAUUGCACAAAAAUAAAGCAGUCUUUAUAACUGAAA